rnacentral:tRNA from 1 species
GCGAAGGUGGCGAAAUUGGUAGACGCACCAGGUUUAGGUCCUGACGCUUAAAUGCAUGUGGGUUCGAAUCCCAUCCUUCGCACCA